GAGGAUAACAGUUGGAAACGACUGCUAAGACUGGAUAGGAAGUUUUAAGGCAUCUUGAAACUUUUAAAAGACCCGCAAGGGUAUGCUAAGAGAUGGGCUUGCGGCACAUUAGUUAGUUGGUAAGGUAACGGCUUACCAAGACUAUGAUGUGUAGCUGGACUGAGAGGUUGAACGGCCACAUUGGGAUUGAGAUACGGCCCAAACUCCUACGGGAGGCAGCAGUAAGGAAUUUUCGGCAAUGGAGGAAACUCUGACCGAGCAACGCCGCGUGAACGAUGAAAUAUUUAGGUAUGUAAAGUUCUUUUAUUAAAGAAGAAAAAAUGAUGGAAAAAUCAUUCUGACGGUAUUUAAUGAAUAAGCCCCGGCUAACUAUGUGCCAGCAGCUGCGGUAAUACAUGGGGGGCAAGCGUUAUCCGGAUUUAUUGGGCGUAAAGGGUGUGUAGGCGGUUUAAUAAGUCUAUGGUAUAAGUUCAACGCUUAACGUUGUGAUGCUAUGGAAACUGUUUGACUAGAGUUGGAUAGAGGCAAGUGGAAUUCCAUGUGUAGCGGUAAAAUGCGUAAAUAUAUGGAGGAACACCAGUAGCGAAGGCGGCUUGCUGGGUCUUAACUGACGCUGAGGCACGAAAGCGUGGGGAGCAAACAGGAUUAGAUACCCUGGUAGUCCACGCCGUAAACGAUGAGUACUAAGUGUUGGGUUAAACCAGUGCUGAAGUUAACACAUUAAGUACUCCGCCUGAGUAGUACGUACGCAAGUAUGAAACUUAAAGGAAUUGACGGGACUCCGCACAAGCGGUGGAUCAUGUUGUUUAAUUCGAAGAUACACGAAAAACCUUACCAGGUCUUGACAUACUCUGCAAAGCUAUAGAAAUAUAGUGGAGGUUAUCAGGGAUACAGGUGGUGCAUGGUUGUCGUCAGCUCG
rnacentral:rRNA from 1 species